rnacentral:rRNA from 1 species
UUGAACGCUGGCGGCAUGCCUUACACAUGCAAGUCGAACGGCAGCACAGGUGCUUGCACCUGGUGGCGAGUGGCGAACGGGUGAGUAAUACAUCGGAACGUACCUUAUCGUGGGGGAUAACGCAGCGAAAGCUGUGCUAAUACCGCAUACGCCCUGAGGGGGAAAGCGGGGGAUCGAAAGACCUCGCGCGAUUAGAGCGGCCGAUGCCUGAUUAGCUUGUUGGUGGGGUAAAAGCCCACCAAGGCGACGAUCAGUAGCUGGUCUGAGAGGACGAUCAGCCACACUGGGACUGAGACACGGCCCAGACUCCUACGGGAGGCAGCAGUGGGGAAUUUUGGACAAUGGGGGAAACCCUGAUCCAGCAAUGCCGCGUGAGUGAAGAAGGCCUUCGGGUUGUAAAGCUCUUUUGUCAGGGAAGAAACACCGGCUCUAACACAGUCCGGGAAUGACGGUACCUGAAGAAUAAGCACCGGCUAACUACGUGCCAGCCGCCGCGGUAAUACAAUCGG